rnacentral:rRNA from 1 species
ACCUGCCCAUUGGAAUCUAAAAGGCCGCGGUAUUAUGACCGUGCUAAGGUAGCAUAAUCAUUAGUCUUUUAAUUGGAGGCUGGUAUGAAUGGUUGGACAAGAAAUAAGCUGUCUUAAAUAAAAAUAUUGAAUUUAACUUUUAAGUGAAAAGGCUUAAAUUUUCUAAGGGGACGAUAAGACCCUAUAAAACUUUAUAUUUUAAAAUAAUAAUUAAUUUUUAUAUAGAAGAUUUAUUUUUAAAUAUUUUAUUGGGGUGAUAAAGAUAAAAUGUGAGAUAACUGUCUUUUUUUUUUUACAAUUAAUAUUUGAGUAAAAGAUCUUAACAAAGGAAAUAAGAGAUUAAGUUACUUUAGGGAUAACAGCGUAAUUUUCUUUAAGAGUUCUUAUCGACAAGAAAGUUUGCGACCUCGAUGUUGAAUUAAAAGUUCUUUAUAGAGUAAAUACUAUAAUAGAGGGUCUGUUCGACCCUUAAAAUUUUACGUG